AGUGGACGCAUCACUGGUGUUCGGGUUGUCAUGCCAAUGGCACUGCCCGGUAGCUAAAUGCGGAAGAGAUAAGUGCUGAAAGCAUCUAAGCACGAAACUUGCCCCGAGAUGAGUUCUCCCUGACUCCUUGAGAGUCCUGAAGGAACGUUGAAGACGACGACGUUGAUAGGCCGGGUGUGUAAGCGCAGCGAUGCGUUGAGCUAASCGGUACUAAUGAACCGUGAGGCUUAACCUUACAACGCCGAAG
rnacentral:rRNA from 1 species